rnacentral:rRNA from 1 species
GGAUUAGAAACCCGGGUAGUCCUGGCAGUAAACGGUGCACGUUUGGUGUGAGGGGAUUCGACCCCCCUUGUGCCGGAGCUAACGCGUUAAACGUGCCGCCUGGGAAGUACGGCCGCAAGGCUAAAACUCAAAGAAAUUGACGGGGACCCGCACAAGCGGUGGAGUAUGUGGCUUAAUUCGAUGCAACGCGAAGAACCUUACCUAGGCUUGACAUGCAUCUCUAAACACGUGAAAGCGUGUGACCCUUCGGGGAAUUUGCACAGGUGCUGCAUGGCCGUCGUCAGCUCGUGUCGUGAGAUGUUGGGUUAAGUCCCGCAACGAGCGCAACCCUUGUGAUUAGUUGCCAGCACGUCAUGGUGGGAACUCUAAUCAGACUGCCCAGAUCAACUGGGAG